GUCCGACUUUGUGAAAUGACUUGAGAGGUGUAGUAUAAGUGGGAGCCUCGCGGCGAAAUUGAAAUACCACUACUUUUAACGUUAUUUUACUUAUUCCGUGAAUCAGAGACUGGGCAUCGCCCCUCUUUUUGGAACAAAGGUUUGCUCGCAAGUCGAUCCAAACGACAGACAUUGCCAAGUAGGGAGUUUGGCUGGGGUGGCACAUCUAUUAAAAGAUAACGCAGGUGUCCUAAGAUGGGCUCAAUGAGAACAUAAAUCUCGUGUGGAACAAAAGGGUAAAAGCUUGUUUGAUUUUGAUUUCCAGUACGAAUACGAACCGUGAAAGCGUGGCCUAUCGAACUUUUAGACCUUGGGAAUUUGAAGUUAGAAGUAUCAGAAAAGUUACCACAAGGAUAACUGGCUUGCGGCAGCUAAGCGUUCAUAGUGACAUUGCUUUUUUAUCCUUCGAUGUCGGCUCUUCCUAUCAUUGUGAAGCAGAAUUCAUUAAGUGUUGGAUUGUUCACCCACCAAUAGGGAACGUGAGCUGGGUUUAGACCGUCAUGAGACAGGUUAGUUUUACACUACUGAUGACAGUGUCGCAAUAGUAAUUCAACCUAGUACGAGAGUAACCGUUGAUUCGCAUAAUUAGUCAUCGCGCUUGGUUGAAAAGCCAGUGGCGUAAAGCUACCGUGCGCUGGAUUAUGACUGAACGCCUCUAAGUCAGAAUCCGGGCUAAAAGCAACAUGUGCACUCGCCUCCCGAUUGCCGACAUGCAGUAGGGGCCUCGGCCCCCAAAGGCUCAUAUAAUGGUCAAGCCAUCAUGGCGGACAAGUCGUGGUGGCCACCUUGAAUUGCAGACGACUUAAAUACACGACGGGGUAUUGUAAGUGGCAGAGUGGCCUUGCUGCCACGAUCCACUAAGAUUUAGCCCUGCGUCACUUCGAUUCAUCUCUCCCAUUUUCCUUCCCCACCCAACCUUUUCAAUUUACUUAUGUGUUUGAAGGCGAGGCUAUUGGUCAACAAUUGGGCAAAAAUUCCCAACACAUUGGCAUGUCCGACAAUUGUGCCAAAUUCCUAACACUUUGGCAUGUCGGGACGUUAAGUCUGCCAAGUUUUUUUUCCAAGUCAUGUCGGCACUUUAGCUUUGCCGUGCAUUUUGACGUAUAGCGUCGCUUUGUGUCGACAGCAAGCGAGGCUAGUACAACCCAUGGGAUUUGCAAUGACAUGUCAAAAUGUCCAUGUGAUUUUGCUAUGACAUGUCGAAAGGUGCCCGAACCUCGCUUCAUGCCGACAACAUGCGAUGCUAUGGCUACCGAUGCACAUUGUCAAUGGCAUGUCGCAGUGCGUUCAAUAUCGACAUUUUCCUCGCAUAAUAUAAUGCUCCCCAUUGUUACAGUUCGUGGGUUGUUGGACGAUUAAUGAAUGGCAAAAGUGGACCGUCUAAUAUUGGGGUCCCCAGUCAUGUGAACAUGUUUCGUAGUCCAACAAAGCAAUUGUUGUUAUUGCACUGGCCAAGCCAAAAAAUACGACGACGACACUUGAGUAAAGGGUUUAUUGGCCUAAAAGUUGGCCACCAAUACAUGUCGCAAAAGAAGCUUGUUAGACAUUAGCUUUGCAUGUAUUUUUCCAACUCAUGUCGAGACUUGGACUUUGUCGUGUCGGGAAAUUGUAUGUCGCGACAUGCCAAGACUCGCAAAGUGUCGGCAUAAUGCAUGGUCACUCCCCUAUAAAUAGCCAUGUUUUCCCACUAAAAUGCUAGGUCAUUCUCUUCCCAAAAAUUCCUAAACACUUUCUCUCUCAAAUUCUAACUUUGGCAUCGGAGAUUCUUCGGCCAAAGCUCCCCCACCCCCAUUCAUGAUAGGUGCGUGAGACUUUUGGCCUUAAUAUUAGGUGUUAUUAUUUUGCAGGUGCCUUUUCAUCAAAGGAGAAGACGACGGAAAUUUGCAUCCACUAAUUGGUGCUUUCAUUGAGAGUUUGAUUCACACACUUGAAAAAGACUCUUGCAGUCAAAGUUUCUCAUUUCUCGUUCAUUUGUAGAUUUUUCGUAUAUUCUUAUUCUUAGAAUUUUUUAUAAGUUCUUUGAAUAAAUGUAAAAGAAAAAUACA
rnacentral:sRNA from 1 species